rnacentral:rRNA from 1 species
AACGCUAGCUACAGGCUUAACACAUGCAAGUCGAGGGGAAACGACAUCGAAAGCUUGCUUUUGGUGGGCGUCGACCGGCGCACGGGUGAGUAACGCGUAUCCAACCUGCCCACCACUUGGGGAUAACCUUGCGAAAGUAAGCCUAAUACCUGAUAUCCUCUUUAGCAGGCAUCUAAAGAAGAGGAAAGAUUUAUCGGCGAUGGAUGGGGAUGCGUCCGAUUAGCUUGCCGGUGGGGUAAAGGCCCACCGGGGCGACGAUCGGUAGGGGUUCUGAGAGGAAGGUCCCCCACAUUGGAACUGAGACACGGUCCAAACUCCUACGGGAGGCAGCAGUGAGGAAUAUUGGUCAAUGGGCGAGAGCCUGAACCAGCCAAGUAGCGUGCAGGACGACGGCCCUAUGGGUUGUAAACUGCUUUUAUACGGGAAUAAAGUGAUGCCUGCGGGCGUUAUUGCAUGUACCGUACGAAUAAGGACCGGCUAAUUCCGUGCCAGCAGCCGCGGUAAUACGGAAGGUCCGGGCGUUAUCCGGAUUUAUUGGGUUUAAAGGGAGCGUAGGCUGUCCUUUAAGCGUGUUGUGAAAUGUAGGCGCUCAACGCCUGCACUGCAGCGCGAACUGAAGGACUUGAGUGUGCACGACGCUCGCGGAAUUCGUGGUGUAGCGGUGAAAUGCUUAGAUAUCACGAAGAACUCCGAUUG